GAUCAAGCGUCUUGAAGAGCAUUUGGUGGAUGCCUUGGUACAGAGAGGCGAUGAAGGACGUGACACGCUGCGAUAAGCUGUGGGGAGCCGUGAGUAGGCUUUGAUCCGCAGAUUUCCGAAUGGGGAAACCCAAACCAUAUUGGUUUAUCCCGCAAGGGAGGCAAACCCAGCGAACUGAAAUAUCUAAGUAGCUGGAGGAAAGGACAUCAACCGAGACUCCGUUAGUAGUGACGAGCGAACGCGGACC
rnacentral:rRNA from 1 species